UACGGAGGGUGCAAGCGUUGUUCGGAAUCAUUGGGCGUAAAGCGCGUGUAGGCGGCUUGGCAAGUCGGUUGUGAAAGCCCGGGGCCCAACCCCGGAAUUGCAUCCGAAACUGCCUGGCUAGAGUUCCGGAGAGGAAGGCAGAAUUCCCGGUGUAGGGGUGAAAUGCGCAGAUAUCGGGAGGAACACCAAUGGCGAAGGCAGCUUGCUGGGACGGUACUGACGCUGAGACGCGAAAGCGUGGGGAGCAAACAGG
rnacentral:rRNA from 1 species